ensembl:lncRNA
AUGCACUCUCAGCCUGUCGUGUUGCGGUCGAAGAGACCGUUACUGAACUCUGUUUCCCUGUUACUGUUUCCUGAUGUUACUGCUGCAGAACCCCCAGAGGUGUCAGUGGUAUCCAUUAAUGAACUCUCUGCCUGUCCUGUCACGGCUGUUGAGGCCAUCUGUGAUCUCUCUACCUGUCAUGUAACGGCUAUGGAGGCCGUCUGUGAACUCUCUGCCUGUCCUGUCAUGGCUAUGGAGGCCGUCUGUGAACUCUCUGCAUGUCCUGUCAUGGCUAUGGAGACUGUCUGUGAACUCUUGCCUUGCUCUGAACCGGCCGAUGAGGCCAUCUCCGAACUCCUGUCCUUGUCUGAAUCAGCCAUGGAGGCUGAUUGUGAACUGUCUGUCAAUUUUGAUGCUGCUAAUGAGUCUGAUUUUGAACUCUCUGUCUUGCCAGUGUCUGUCAAUCAGUCUGAUCAUGAACUGUUAGUCUGUCCAGGAUCAACCCAUGAAUCAGUUUUUGAAUUAUCUAUCUGUCCCAUUUCCCUCAAUGAGCCUGAGGUGGAAUCACCUGUCUGUUCCGAUCCCAUCAACAAUUCUGAUCUAGUACUAUCUGCCUGCCCAGUAUCAGUCCACAAGUUGUUUGUCAGUUCAGUUCCAGCCAAUGCUCUUGGUUUUGAACAGUCUGUUCAUUCUAUCUCAGCUAAUACAUCCAGUUUUGAACUGUCAGCCCAUUUUGUUUCAAUUAACGAACCGGAUUCUGAACUUUAUGUUUUUCCUGUUUUAGCAAAUGAGUCCUAUGUUGAACCAUCUGUCUGUCCAGUUCCAAACAAGGAACCUGUUAUCUGCCCCAUUAGUCCAGUUAUGAGCCCAGAAAAUAUAAAUGCAAUCCAUGUCUGUCCCGUUAACCCUGUCACUGCCUUAGAGACCAUUCAGGAACUGUCAGCUUGUUCUGUUUUCCCAAAUGUGUCUGUUGAACCAUCUGCCUUGCCAGUCCUAGUCUGUGAGCCUAUUAAUGAACUGUCUGCCUGUCCAAUUUCAGUCAGUAAGCCACUUUGUGAACUGUCUGGUUGUCCAGUUUCAGUCAGUGAGCCCGUUCAUGGACUGUCUGCCCGUUCAGUUGUCACCAGGGAAAACAUUGAUGAACUUUUUGUGUUCUCUGCCUUGGUCCUUGAGACUGUAUAUGCUAUGUCUGUUUCUUGUGUCUCUGUUUUUCCUAGUUCCCAGUCUCUAUCAGGGGUCUCUGUUCCGUCUGCUCAGCCAUGGUGGCCAUCUGCUCCGCCUUCAUGGUCUUCUGUCUGGCUCUGGUGGUCUUCUGCUCCGCCGUGGUGGUCUUCUGCUAUAUCUGCUCCACCUUGGCGGUCUUCUGUUUGGCUCUGUUGGCCGUCUGCUCUGCCAUCAUGGUCUUCUGUCUGGCUCUGGUAG